rnacentral:rRNA from 1 species
AUACGGAGGGUGCAAGCGUUAUUCGGAAUCAUUGGGCGUAAAGGACGCGUAGGCGGGUUGGCAAGUCAGAUGUGAAAUCCUACAGCUUAACUGUAGAACUGCAUUUGAAACUGCUAACCUAGAGUAUGGGAGGGGGAGAUGGAAUUAGUGGUGUAGGGGUAAAAUCCGUAGAUAUCACUAGGAAUACCGAAAGCGAAGGCGAUCUCCUGGAACAUAACUGACGCUAAGGCGUGAAAGCGUGGGGAGCAAACAGGAUUAGAUACCCUAGUAGUCC